CUUCUGUACUCAUGCAGCGAAUAUGGGAGCAUAUUUCCAGCAUCUUGUUCUUAUAUUACUGACAUCAGCUACAAUAUCCAUCCCAAUGUGGCAGACACUACUGGUCAAAAAAGGCAAGAAGACCACCAUAUUCAUCGGCCUAUCGGUUUAUAUCCCAGCUCU